rnacentral:rRNA from 1 species
ACGCUGGCGGCGUGCCUAAUACAUGCAAGUCGAACGCUGGAGAUCUAGCUUGCUAGAUCGAAGGAGUGGCGAACGGGUGAGUAAUACAUAAGCAACCUACCCACGAAGACUGGGAUAAUCUCUGGAAACGGGGACUAAUACCGGAUAGGUAAUCGGAAGGCAUCUUCUGAUUAUUAAAGGUUAAAAACACUGGUGGAUGGGCUUAUGGCGCAUUAGUUAGUUGGUGAGGUAACGGCCCACCAAGACGAUGAUGCGUAGCCGGCCUGAGAGGGUGAACGGCCACAUUGGGACUGAGACACGGCCCAGACUCCUACGGGAGGCAGCAGUAGGGAAUUUUCGGCAAUGGGGGAAACCCUGACCGAGCAACGCCGCGUGAGUGAUGACGGCCUUCGGGUUGUAAAGCUCUGUUGUAAGGGAAGAACGGUAGAUAGAGAAUAUCUAAGUGACGGUACCUUACCAGAAAGCCACGGCUAACUACGUGCCAGCAGCCGCGGUAAUACGUAGGUGGCGAGCGUUAUCCGGAAUUAUUGGGCGUAAAGGGUGCGUAGGCGGCCUGUUAAGUAAGUGGUUAAAUUGUUGGGCUCAACCCAAUCCAGUCACUUAAACUGGCAGGCUAGAGUAUUGGAGAGGCAAGUGGAAUUCCAUGUGUAGCGGUAAAAUGCGUAGAUAUAUGGAGGAACACCAGUGGCGAAGGCGGCUUGCUAGCCAAAGACUGACGCUCAUGCACGAAAGCGUGGGGAGCAAAUAGGAUUAGAUACCCUAGUAGUCCACGCCGUAAACGAUGAAUACUAAGUAUUGGGGAAACUCAGUGCUGCACUAACGCAAUAAGUAUUCCGCCUGUGGAGUAUGCACGCAAGUGUGAAACAUAAAGGAAUUGACGGGGGCCCGCACAAGCGGUGGAGUAUGU